UGCUACACUGGGACACUGGUACAUUGUGGGAGGCAACUCGUAUGUCUAAAGACUAAUGAGUUAUUCUAGGCACAAUGUAAAGGCACAGAUCAAGCACAUGCAGCUCGUCUGGUUGUGACGGUGCGACUUGGGUUUGCCAGCUUCGUUCUCUUUCGUCUGAAGACCUCUAACAUCUUGCCACCCUUUUCUUGUCACGGCGCAGCUCUAUAGCAGUUGUAGACAGCUGGUGACAGCGCGAGAGAGAUCUCCAUCUGACAAACUGCUAUCAGUUGGAGUAGGAUGAUUG